rnacentral:rRNA from 1 species
AGUUUGAUCCUGGCUCAGGAUAAACGCUGGCGGCGCACAUAAGACAUGCAAGUCGAACGGACUUAACUCAUUCUUUUAGAUUGAGAGCGGUUAGUGGCGGACUGGUGAGUAACACGUAAGCAACCUGCCUAUUAGAGGGGAAUAACAACGAGAAAUCGUUGCUAAUACCGCAUAAGCUGAUAGUAUCGCAUGAUACAGUCAGAAAAGGAGUAAUCCGCUAAUAGAUGGGCUUGCGGCUGAUUAGCUAGUUGGUGGGGUAACGGCCUACCAAGGCGACGAUCAGUAGCCGAGCUGAGAGGCUCUACGGCCACAUUGGGACUGAGAUACGGCCCAGACUCCUACGGGAGGCAGCAGUCGGGAAUAUUGCGCAAUGGAGGAAACUCUGACGCAGUGACGCCGCGUAUAGGAUGAAGGUUUUCGGAUUGUAAACUAUUGUCGUUAGGGAAGAAAUUUGACAGUACCUAAGGAGGAAGCUCCGGCUAACUACGUGCC